rnacentral:rRNA from 1 species
UACGGGGGGAGCAAGCGUUGUUCGGAUUUACUGGGCGUAAAGGGCGCGUAGGCGGUCAGCACAAGUCAGUUGUGAAAUCUCCGGGCUUAACUCGGAAAGGUCAACUGAUACUGUGCGACUAGAGUGCAGAAGGGGCAACUGGAAUUCUCGGUGGUAGCGGUGAAAUGCGCAGAUAUCAGGAGGAACACCGGUGGCGAAGGCGGUCUCUGGGCCUUACCUGACACUGAGGAGCGAAGCGUG